rnacentral:tRNA from 1 species
UCCCUGCUGGCUCAGCUGGUAAAGCAUCUGCCUGCAAUGCGGGAGACCUGGGUUUGAUCCCUGGGUUGGGAA